CGAACGGUCUUUUCUAUGGAAGCUUGCUUCCACUGAGAAGAUAGUGGCGGACGGGUGAGUAACACGUGGGUAACCUGCCCAUAAGAGGGGGAUAACAUCCGGAAACGGGUGCUAAUACCGCAUAGUUUUCUUGAUCGCAUGAUCGAGAAAGGAAAGACGGCCUUUGUGCUGUCGCUUAUGGAUGGACCCGCGGCGUAUUAGUUAGUUGGUGAGGUAACGGCUCACCAAGACGAUGAUACGUAGCCGACCUGAGAGGGUGAUCGGCCACAUUGGGACUGAGACACGGCCCAAACUCCUACGGGAGGCAGCAGUAGGGAAUCUUCCGCAAUGGACGAAAGUCUGACGGAGCAACGCCGCGUGAGUGAAGAAGGUUUUCGGAUCGUAAAACUCUGUUGUCAGAGAAGAACAAGUCGGAGAGUAACUGCUCCGGCCUUGACGGUAUCUGACCAGAAAGCCACGGCUAACUACGUGCCAGCAGCCGCGGUAAUACGUAGGUGGCAAGCGUUGUCCGGAUUUAUUGGGCGUAAAGCGAGCGCAGGCGGUUCCUUAAGUCUGAUGUGAAAGCCCACGGCUCAACCGUGGAAGGUCAUUGGAAACUGGGGAACUUGAGUGCAGAAGAGGAAAGUGGAAUUCCAUGUGUAGC
rnacentral:rRNA from 1 species